CACAGUCAAUCAAAAAUAAAUCAUAAAGCUGCUUCUGGUUCCAUAUGCUGAGGUUCUAGCUCUUCUGGGUUAGCUUGGGCUGCGUUGCUUUUAAAUAGUAUCCAAGAUAAGUAACUUAUAUAAUUUCAGUGACUCUUGCUCUUUUUACAGGUUUAUUCUGCAGUGUUGUAGAACAGGCAGCUCAAUUUGGGAUAUCCAUAUGUUUGAGUUCUGCUUUAUGAACAAGGGAAGAAGACUAACAACUUGCCUGAACGGGUGAUCUUCUGCUUGAAUUAACUGAACACUAGAUCUGAGUGGUGGAAGCCUUGAGUUCAGAAAGAGGUCCUAAAUGGUUGCUUCUAAGAGUUAUCAUCAACCCAAGGGAGAAUUUCUAUCUUAAGGCCACUACAAGAAAGGAACACUACAAAAGUGGUGGAGUGAGAGAAGAACAGAAAGAGGGGACUACCCAUGAUAAAUAUUAA
rnacentral:lncRNA from 1 species